rnacentral:rRNA from 1 species
GUGCAGCAGUCGAGAAUUUUUCUCAAUGGGGGCAACCCUGAAGGAGCGACGCCGCGUGGAGGAUGAAGGCUUUCGGGUUGUAAACUCCUGUCAUUUGAGAACAAGUGUAGCCAAGUAACUACUGGCUACUUGAUAGUAUCAGAAGAGGAAGGGACGGCUAACCCUGUGCCAGCAGCCGCGGUAAUACAGAGGUCCCAAGCGUUGUUCGGAUUCAUUGGGCGUAAAGGGUGCGUAGGUGGCGCCGUAAGUGGGGUGUGAAAUUUCGGAGCUUAACUCCGAAACUGCAUUCCAUACUGCGGUGCUUGAGGACUGGAGAGGAGACUGGAAUUCAUGGUGUAGCAGUGAAAUGCGUAGAGAUCAUGAGGAAGACCAGUGGCGAAGGCGGGUCUCUGGACAGUUCCUGACACUGAGGCACGAAGGCCAGGGGAGCGAACGGGAUUAGAUACCCCCGUAGU